UACGUAGGGUGCGAGCGUUAAUCGGAAUUACUGGGCGUAAAGCGUGCGCAGGCGGUUCGCCAAGUCAGGUGUGAAAUCCCCGGGCUUAACCUGGGAAUUGCGCUUGAAACUAGCGGGCUUGAGUGUGGCAGAGGGGGGUGGAAUUCCACGUGUAGCGGUGGAAUGCGCAGAUAUCAGGAGGAACACCAACGGCGAAGGCAGCUCGCUAGGACGGUACUGACGCUGAGGCGCGAAAGCGUGGGGAGCAAACAGG
rnacentral:rRNA from 1 species